rnacentral:rRNA from 2 species
AAAUUGAAGAGUUUGAUCAUGGCUCAGAUUGAACGCUGGCGGCAGGCCUAACACAUGCAAGUCGAGCGGUAGCACAGAGAGCUUGCUCUCGGGUGACGAGCGGCGGACGGGUGAGUAAUGUCUGGGAAACUGCCUGAUGGAGGGGGAUAACUACUGGAAACGGUAGCUAAUACCGCAUAAUGUCGCAAGACCAAAGUGGGGGACCUUCGGGCCUCAUGCCAUCAGAUGUGCCCAGAUGGGAUUAGCUAGUAGGUGGGGUAACGGCUCACCUAGGCGACGAUCCCUAGCUGGUCUGAGAGGAUGACCAGCCACACUGGAACUGAGACACGGUCCAGACUCCUACGGGAGGCAGCAGUGGGGAAUAUUGCACAAUGGGCGCAAGCCUGAUGCAGCCAUGCCGCGUGUGUGAAGAAGGCCUUCGGGUUGUAAAGCACUUUCAGCGGGGAGGAAGGCGGUGAGGUUAAUAACCUCAUCGAUUGACGUUACCCGCAGAAGAAGCACCGGCUAACUCCGUGCCAGCAGCCGCGGUAAUACGGAGGGUGCAAGCGUUAAUCGGAAUUACUGGGCGUAAAGCGCACGCAGGCGGUCUGUCAAGUCGGAUGUGAAAUCCCCGGGCUCAACCUGGGAACUGCAUUCGAAACUGGCAGGCUAGAGUCUUGUAGAGGGGGGUAGAAUUCCAGGUGUAGCGGUGAAAUGCGUAGAGAUCUGGAGGAAUACCGGUGGCGAAGGCGGCCCCCUGGACAAAGACUGACGCUCAGGUGCGAAAGCGUGGGGAGCAAACAGGAUUAGAUACCCUGGUAGUCCACGCUGUAAACGAUGUCGAUUUGGAGGUUGUGCCCUUGAGGCGUGGCUUCCGGAGCUAACGCGUUAAAUCGACCGCCUGGGGAGUACGGCCGCAAGGUUAAAACUCAAAUGAAUUGACGGGGGCCCGCACAAGCGGUGGAGCAUGUGGUUUAAUUCGAUGCAACGCGAAGAACCUUACCUGGUCUUGACAUCCACAGAACUUUCCAGAGAUGGAUUGGUGCCUUCGGGAACUGUGAGACAGGUGCUGCAUGGCUGUCGUCAGCUCGUGUUGUGAAAUGUUGGGUUAAGUCCCGCAACGAGCGCAACCCUUAUCCUUUGUUGCCAGCGGUUAGGCCGGGAACUCAAAGGAGACUGCCAGUGAUAAACUGGAGGAAGGUGGGGAUGACGUCAAGUCAUCAUGGCCCUUACGACCAGGGCUACACACGUGCUACAAUGGCAUAUACAAAGAGAAGCGACCUCGCGAGAGCAAGCGGACCUCAUAAAGUAUGUCGUAGUCCGGAUUGGAGUCUGCAACUCGACUCCAUGAAGUCGGAAUCGCUAGUAAUCGUAGAUCAGAAUGCUACGGUGAAUACGUUCCCGGGCCUUGUACACACCGCCCGUCACACCAUGGGAGUGGGUUGCAAAAGAAGUAGGUAGCUUAACCUUCGGGAGGGCGCUUACCACUUUGUGAUUCAUGACUGGGGUGAAGUCGUAACAAGGUAACCGUAGGGGAACCUGCGGUUGGAUCACCUCCUUA